rnacentral:rRNA from 1 species
GAGUUUGAUCAUGGCUCAGGAUGAACGCUGGCGGCGUGCCUAAUACAUGCAAGUCGAACGAAGAGAUAGCAAUAUUUCUUAGUGGCGAACGGGUGAGUAACGCGUUGGUGACCUGCCCCGAAGACUGGGAUAACAGUUCGAAAGGACUGCUAAUACCGGAUGAGGACCUGGGCGUUAGAGAACCAGGUCGAAAGGAUGGUGCAAGCCAUUCACUUUGGGAGGGGCCUGCGUCCCAUCAGCUAGUUGGUAGGGUAACGGCCUACCAAGGCAGCGACGGGUAGGGGACCUGAGAGGGUGAUCCCCCACACUGGCACUGAAACACGGGCCAGACACCUACGGGUGGCAGCAGUAGGGAAUAAUGUGCAAUGGGCGCAAGCCUGACACUGCAACGCCGCGUGCCCGAUGAAGGCUUUCGGGUUGUAAAGGGCUUUUCGGGAGGACGAAAGCAGACGGUACUCCCGGAAUAAGGAUCGGCUAACUACGUGCCAGCAGCCGCGGUAACACGUAGGAUCCGAGCGUUAUCCGAAUUUACUGGGCGUAAAGCGCGUGCAGGCGGCCGGGUAAGUUGGGCGUGAAAUCUCCUGGCUCAACUGGGAGAGGUCGUCCAAAACUACCUGGCUAGAGGGCGGUAG